rnacentral:rRNA from 1 species
UGGGGAAUAUUGCACAAUGGGCGCAAGCCUGAUGCAGCGACGCCGCGUGCGGGAUGACGGCCUUCGGGUUGUAAACCGCUUUUGACUGGGAGCAAGCCCUUCGGGGUGAGUGUACCUUUCGAAUAAGCACCGGCUAACUACGUGCCAGCAGCCGCGGUAAUACGUAGGGUGCAAGCGUUAUCCGGAAUUAUUGGGCGUAAAGGGCUCGUAGGCGGUUCGUCGCGUCCGGUGUGAAAGUCCAUCGCUUAACGGUGGAUCCGCGCCGGGUACGGGCGGGCUUGAGUGCGGUAGGGGAGACUGGAAUUCCCGGUGUAACGGUGGAAUGUGUAGAUAUCGGGAAGAACACCAAUGGCGAAGGCAGGUCUCUGGGCCGUCACUGACGCUGAGGAGCGAAAGCGUGGGGAGCAAACAGGAUUAGAUACCCUGGUAGUCCACGCCGUAAACGGUGGACGCUGGAUGUGGGGCACGUUCCACGUGUUCCGUGUCGGAGCUAACGCGUUAAGCGUCCCGCCUGGGGAGUACGGCCGCAAGGCUAAAACUCAAAGAAAUUGACGGGGGCCCGCACAAGCGGCGGAGCAUGCGGAUUAAUUCGAUGCAACGCGAAGAACCUUACCUGGGCUUGACAUGUUCCCGACGACGCCAGAGAUGGCGUUUCCCUUCGGGGCGGGUUCACAGGUGGUGCAUGGUCGUCGUCAGCUCGUGUCGUGAGAUGUUGGGUUAAGUCCCGCAACGAGCGCAACCCUCGCCCCGUGUUGCCAGCACGUUAUGGUGGGAACUCACGGGGGACCGCCGGGGUUAACUCGGAGGAAGGUGGGGAUGACGUCAGAUCAUCAUGCCCCUUACGUCCAGGGCUUCACGCAUGCUACAAUGGCCGGUACAGCGGGAUGCGACAUGGCGACAUGGAGCGGAUCCCUGAAAACCGGUCUCAGUUCGGAUCGGAGCCUGCAACCCGGCUCCGUGAAGGCGGAGUCGCUAGUAAUCGCGGAUCAGCAACGCCGCGGUGAAUGCGUUCCC